CCUACGGGGGGCAGCAGUGGGGAAUAUUGCGCAAUGGGGGAAACCCUGACGCAGCGACGCCGCGUGAGCGAUGAAGGCCUUAGGGUUGUAAAGCUCUGUUUUAGGGGACGAAUGUCAUGGUGAGUAAUAUGCGCUGUGAAUGACGGUACCCUAAGAGGAAGCCCCGGCUAACUACGUGCCAGCAGCCGCGGUAAGACGUAGGGGGCGAGCGUUGUCCGGAAUUACUGGGCGUAAAGAGCACGUAGGCGGGAAUUUAAGUCAGAUGUGAAAGACCGGGGCUCAACUCCGGGGUUGCAUUUGAAACUGGAUUUCUUGAGGGCAGGAGAGGAAAGCAGAAUUCCUGGUGUAGCGGUGAAAUGCGUAGAUAUCAGGAGGAAUACCAGUGGCGAAGGCGGCUUUCUGGACUGACCCUGACGCUGAGGUGCGAAAGCGUGGGUAGCAAACAGGCUUAGAUACCCGAGUAGUC
rnacentral:rRNA from 1 species